UUGGAGCCGUGUUAGACUCCUUAUGCAAGUCGAACGGCAGCACGGGUGCUUGCACCUGGUGGCGAGUGGCGAACGGGUGAGUAAUACAUCGGAACAUGUCCAGUAGUGGGGGAUAGCCCGGCGAAAGCCGGAUUAAUACCGCAUACGAUCUUUGGAUGAAAGCGGGGGAUCGCAAGACCUCGCGCUAUUGGGGUGGCCGAUGGCGGAUUAGCUAGUUGGUGGGGUAAAGGCCUACCAAGGCGACGAUCCGUAGCUGGUCUGAGAGGACGACCAGCCACACUGGGACUGAGACACGGCCCAGACUCCUACGGGAGGCAGCAGUGGGGAAUUUUGGACAAUGGGCGAAAGCCUGAUCCAGCAAUGCCGCGUGUGUGAAGAAGGCCUUCGGGUUGUAAAGCACUUUUGUCCGGAAAGAAAUCCUGGUGGCUAAUAUCCGCCAGGGAUGACGGUACCGGAAGAAUAAGCACCGGCUAACUACGUGCCAGCAGCCGCGGUAAUACGUAGGGUGCGAGCGUUAAUCGGAAUUACUGGGCGUAAAGCGUGCGCAGGCGGUGAUGUAAGACCGAUGUGAAAUCCCCGGGCUUAACCUGGGAACUGCAUUGGUGACUGCAUCGCUGGAGUAUGGCAGAGGGGGGUAGAAUUCCACGUGUAGCAGUGAAAUGCGUAGAGAUGUGGAGGAAUACCGAUGGCGAAGGCAGCCCCCUGGGCCAAUACUGACGCUCAUGCACGAAAGCGUGGGGAGCAAACAGGGAUUAGAUACCCUGGUAGUCCACGCCCUAAACGAUGUCAACUGGUUGUCGGGCCUUCAUUGGCUUGGUAACGUAGCUAACGCGUGAGAGUUGACCGCCUGGGGGAGUACGGUCGCAAGAUUAAAACUCAAAGGAAUUGACGGGGGACCCGCACCAGCGGUGGAUGAUGUGGAUUAAUUUCGAUGCAACGCGAAAAACCUUACCUACCCUUGACAUGUACGGAAGUCUGCCGAGAGGUGGAUGUGCCCGAAAGGGAGCCGUAACACAGGUGCUGCAUGGCUGUCGUCAGCUCGUGUCGUGAGAUGUUGGGUUAAGUCCCGCAACGAGCGCAACCCUUGUCCCUAGUUGCUACGCAAGAGCACUCCAGGGAGACUGCCGGUGACAAACCGGAGGAAGGUGGGGAUGACGUCAAGUCCUCAUGGCCCUUAUGGGUAGGGCUUCACAC
rnacentral:rRNA from 1 species